rnacentral:misc_RNA from 1 species
UACGGAGGGGGCGAGCGUUGCUCGGAAUUACUGGGCGUAAAGGGCGCGUAGGCGGCGACGUUAGUCGGGCGUGAAAGCCCCGGGCUCAACCUGGGAGGUGCGUUCGAUACUGCGUUGCUGGAGAACGGGAGAGGGCAGUGGAAUUCCCAGUGUAGAGGUGAAAUUCGUAGAUAUUGGGAAGAACACCAGUGGCGAAGGCGGCUGCCUGGCCCGUUUCUGACGCUGAGGCGCGAAAGCGUGGGGAGCAAACAGG